rnacentral:rRNA from 1 species
GUCGUAACAUGGUUUCCGUAGGUGAACCUGCGGAAGGAUCAUUG